UGUAAGUAUCGACGUAGAAGAUACAUAGAAGCGUAAAGAAGUUUAAAAGAUGUAAAUGUAUGUAGAAGAAGAACAGUCAUUGGAAGAGUGUAAUUAUAAAAGUGCAGUGAAUAAGGUACCUUAGGGAUAAUAUGUCAAAGGGGAUAAAGUUUGCUGAAAGGAAAUUCUAAUUUUCAAAAGGUAACAAACUACGACAAAUCAAGAGCAAGUGAAAAAGGAGGAUUGAGACAUAUUGACCUGAUGAUUAUAAAUUAUUUAAGUUUUUGGGAAUAAAACCACUUUUCUCCCUCCGGGAGCUUCAAGCAUCCUCAAAUCACCGGCGAUACAACAACAAGGACCAUGUCAUCUGGACUGCAACCACAUCACCAAGACUGCAACGACCAACAUCCGUAGGCCUGGUGGAAUACAGCAUUCAGAACCACAGCACCAGUUGCAGAAACAGCAGUACCAUUCAACAUCAAGAAGUUACCAUCGAACCAACACCACAAGCCAUGCACAAGUAUAAUCCAGAAUUGUUAGUUUUUGACAUGAAUUUGUUAAUCAUAUUUAUUGAAUAAUAAACAUGAUUAGUUAAA